rfam:Dendroctonus ponderosae Seq01030070, whole genome shotgun sequence.
UAUUCAUGGGCUCUCUUCAAAGCGAAUAAAUCUUUCGCCUUUUACUAAAUAUUUAUCUGCAGAGGAUCAAAAUAAAUGAAUCUUUGAAUAAUUUUUCUUUGAAGAAAAUCUAGAUAACUUA